rnacentral:snoRNA from 1 species
AUGAAAGUGAUGAUUAUUUCCCCAGAUGAUCGAAGCUGAUCAUACUGUGCACUAUUUUACUUUCUUCUUUACAAGGAGAAUCCAAGCCAGAGAUCUGAUCCAU